UAUUAAGUACUCUCCUAUUACAAAAUGGUGAGUCGUAACUGAUGAUGGAAGCUCAAUUCUCCAAUGAACUUCGCAGUUUAGAAGUCCUACCCGCCACCAUCGACCACCAUGUUCAGUGGCACUGCAGUGGACUUUGGACAUGCUUUUUCAAUUGCACAAGGGCAGAAACUGAAAUAUUCCAAAGCAUGAAGUAUCCGUUCCCACAGACUAUAAAGACUGCUGGAGAGAUCGUAGCCAGAUCAUAAGAGACAGAUAUUCUGUGCUUAGAGAUCCUCCAGUGAAAGUCACAGAAGUUAAAGCACAAGAUAACUUUUUG